rnacentral:rRNA from 1 species
GUCCACGCUGUAAACGAUGAGUACUAGGUGUCGCGGGUAUUGACCCCUGCGGUGCCGCAGCUAACGCAUUAAGUACUCCGCCUGGGGACUACGACCGCAAGGUUAAAACUCAAAGGAAUUGACGGGGGCCCCGCACAAGCGGUGGAGCAUGUGGUUCAAUUCGACGCAACGCGAAGAACCUUACCUGGACUAGACAACGGUGGACCGCCUCAGAGAUGAGGUUUUCCCUUCGGGGACUGCCGGUACAGGUGCUGCAUGGCUGUCGU